AGAGUUUGAUCCUGGCUCAGGAUGAACGCUGGCGGCGUGCUUAACACAUGCAAGUCGAACGUGAAGAUGUACUUGUACAUCUGAAAGUGGCGAACGGGUGAGUAACACGUAGGUGACCUGCCCCGAAGCGGGGGAUAACUGCGGGAAACUGCAGCUAAUACCGCAUGUGCUUGUGAAGAUGGGAAUCUUUACAAGUAAAGUUUCGGCGCUUUGGGAGGGGCCUGCGGUCGAUUAGUUAGUUGGUGAGGUAAGGGCUCACCAAGGCGAUGAUCGAUAGCUGUUCUGAGAGGAAGACCAGCCACACGGGAACUGAGAGACGGUCCCGACUCCUACGGGGGGCAGCAGUGAGGAAUAUUGCACAAUGGGCGAAAGCCUGAUGCAGCAACGCCGCGUGAAGGAUGACGGUCUUCGGAUUGUAAACUUCUUUUCUGUAGGAAGAAGGGUGUGGCGACACAUCUUGACGGUACUACAGGAAUAAGACACGGCUAACUACGUGCCAGCAGCCGCGGUAAUACGUAGGUGUCAAGCGUUAUCCGGAAUUACUGGGCGUAAAGGGCACGCAGGCGGACAUGCAAGUCUGACGUGAAAGCUCCCGGCUUAACCGGGAGAGGACGUUGGAAACUGUGGGUCUUGAGGCAGUGAGAGGGAGGCGGAAUUCCCGGUGUAGUGGUGGAAUGCGUAGAUAUCGGGAAGAACACCAGUGGCGAAGGCGGCCUUCUGGCACUGUACUGACGCUGAGGUGCGAAAGCGUGGGUAGCGAACGGGAUUAGAUACCCCGGUAGUCCACGCUGUAAACGAUGUGAACUUAGGAUGUGGGCGGAGUGACAUCUGUCCGUACCCGCAAGCCAACGCGAUAAGUUUCACCGCCUGGGGGAGUACGGCCGCAAGGGCUAAAAACUCAAAGGGAAUUGACGGGGGCCCGCACAAGCAGCGAAGCGUGUGGUUUAAUUCGAUGCGACGCGAAGAACCUUACCUGGGCUUGACAUGUACGUAGUAGUGAAGGGAAACUGGAACGAGCCUUCGGGCAGCGUACACAGGUGCUGCAUGGCUGUCGUCAGCUCGUGUCGUGAGAUGUUGGGUUAAGUCCCGCAACGAGCGCAACCCGCGUCGCUAGUUAUACGUGUCUAGCGAGACUGCCGGUAUCAAAUCGGAGGAAGGUGCGGAUGACGUCAAGUCAGCAUGGCCUUUAUGUCCAGGGCUACACACACGCUACAAUGGCCAGUACAACGAGCAGCGAAGCGGCGACGUGGAGCGAAUCUCAUCAAAGCUGGUCGUAGUUCAGAUUGUAGGCUGCAACUCGCCUGCAUGAAGCUGGAGUUGCUAGUAACCGCAGGUCAGCCAUACUGCGGUGAAUACGUUCCCGGGCCUUGUACACACCGCCCGUCACGUCAUGGGAGUUGGCAACACCUGAAGUCGGUGACCCAACCCGCAAGGGAGGGAGCUGCCUAGGGUGGGGCUGAUGACUGGGACGAAGUCGUAACAAGGU
rnacentral:rRNA from 1 species